rnacentral:lncRNA from 1 species
GGAUUCCUAUUCAAUCCAUGUCAUGUCCAAUAUGUUUUUAUUUCUAAGCCAUGAAUUAUGUAUGUAAAAGAUUGGGUUGAGUAAAAAAAUUAUUAACUCGUUUAUCUAUUAUGGAUAUUUUAACUCAAUAAACUCGAUUUAAACUUGAUCAUGUGCAACCCAAAUAAAUACACUAAUUUAUACAUUCAAAUGGAUUGCAUCUCUACGAAUUUAAACUCUGAGGUAGGAAUUUAAAAUUUAGGCCCUUCUACCGGGAGGACUUUAGAAAAUUCUAAAUAUAAAUAUAUGGUGAUACAAAAUAUUUUUCUUUAUAUUAAUAUAGUCUGACAACAUAAUAGUUACACUUAAUAACAUUAAGAUUUCAUGAAAUUUUUGUUGAUCCGUUCCUGCCCUUCUCCUAUUAAUAACAACAAUAACAAUAUUAACAACAUAAUUUAUAAUUUAUUAAUAACAAUAAUAACAACAUUAACAACAUAAUUUAUAAUUUCAUGCAUAACCUGGCACACAAGUUUUCUUCUUGCCGGCUCCAACUGCCCUUCCCAGACCCUAUAUUAAUCAACCACCUCCAAGUUCACCAAAUAUAUUAAACAGCUAUCUGCUUUGACAACACAUACCAAUUAAUUAUAUUAAAUCUCAUUAAUCAGUGAUUGACAACAAAUGACAUUAAAAUUUCAAAUUUCUUACUAUUGUUUCUUGCGAGAAAGGGACUUCGUGUGAAGCGGGCACAAAUUACUUGCCUACUUGGUCAACUCUUUCCCUUACGUAAGACCUUUCUCUGAUAUCAAUAUCAUCUUCUUUGCAUAACUUAU